GCAUAAAAUGAAUGGCAGAAUAAGCCUCUUGUGCAAGAUAUUCCCAAAAGAAGAUCUAUAGGCUUAAUAGUUUUCAUAAUACGCAGUAAAAUUUUCAACUUCAUAUAUUCUGAAAUGUCAAAACUAUUGGGAUUCUUUCACAGGGUGACAAAGGCAUAGCUCACGUUCCUUGCAAACUCUCUCAGUGUCUGCCAAGGGGACCUACGGCAGCUGUCUUGAAGCAAAGGCUUGGAUGAGAACAUAAUGGAAAAUCAUUCUUUUCCUCUCUGAGGAACAAUUUUGAAAUGAUAUUGCCUUCUCACUGUAUAUGUAGUGCAUAAUGUUUAAUUAUAAAGUAUUAAAACAUGAGCUCCAGUGUGCAUGCAGAAGAGCCGUGGUCUCUGUUUGAAAGAGUAAAGUUUAUGGCAAUUUAUUUUAGCUAAACAAACCAUUAUAUGCAUCCAGCAUUUAAUCAAUUAUUUAAUUUUUAGCACUUUUUCAAAAUCCAAAUCUGAUUGUCUGUUAUGAAUAAAAAAUAGUAAACACUUUGAUAAAAAUGGAACAAUGCUGAGUUGUGUCCCUGUUAGGUGUUCAGAGACAACAUUAGGGAGAGGGCAUCAGUCAACAGGUGCCCUUUGACUGCACAAAGGGCACCUGUGCAGUCACCUGUGCAGAGCAGACACCCUCACACCAGAGGCUGCACUGGAGGCUUUGCCGUCUACACCAGACAAGUGAGCAGGAUUUGGAUAUGGACAGGACGUUAGUGAGUAUGAUUGAUGCUCCCCGAUACCGCCUGUGUGAAGGUUACCUCCCCUGCCCUGCACUCCCACCACAGCACCGGAGGCUCUCCCUGUUUGCUUCCUCUUGGCCUGCCAGGACGGUGACAGCCCUGGGACAGGAACGACCUUCCCUCCGAGGUCUCUUUGUGCACCUUCUAAAGCCAAAGUCUUUUCUCAGAGAGCGUCUCUCGUGUGCUGCAACUCAGCUUGGAGGGUGCUGAAUUUACUUUCAGCUUCAGAAAGUUGCUGGGAAAGGAUGUUAGCAUGGGAAUGCACAUAUCCUGUGUAGCAGACCACUCAUCUUUUGUUAUCUGCAAAACAGCAGCAGCCAGUCUCAGACGUCAACAAAAGCUACAGGGUCUGAUCAAAGGUAGAUGUCACUUCAAGUUUCUGCCUUCUUGGUGAAUGACGUUCUCCUGGGCAUCAGCAGUGGCCUAGAAAUUGCAACUGGCAAGGAGGUGUUAAUCACUGAUGGGAGGUAGAUGGAUUAUUUUCCUCCACCAGGAGAGGCAGCUACCAUGUCUCCUCUACAGAGGACUCCUAGAACAGUCCAGCUUGGAGGGCACAACCCACAUGGGUCAGCAUGGCCUGCCAGAGCUCCGUGUCCAUUGGCCAGCCAGGGCGUGGUGGCUGCUGGGCUCUCUUCUGAUGCAGGUGCAGGGCAGAUGGAUGAGUGCUCUUCUGUCUACUGCUUCAAGUUUCAUUCUCACUUUAUAUGACUUAAGGUUGGCUUCUGUGACUCCUUUUUGAAGAAUGUUGCAGUUGCGAUUUCAGAUCCAGUUAGAGUUCGUAAGGAGAACGUUGGCCAAGAUGAUGCAUUCAUCUGGAACUCCAGGGAAGGCUGAAGUAAAGCCCUCUCUUUUUCCCCAAAUGUCCCACGAGGUUUUGUGUCCAAGGUCCUCCUAAAGUCAUUUCCAUUGUCACUAUCAUCAGGUGUUAACUGUAAUCUGGCACCUGGGAUCCCAACAACUCUCGCCAUCCACGCUGAAGAGGAACGUGGAGGUAAUGAGCUUGCCUUUCAAACCAACUGUGAAGUCAUCAGCUGGAGGAAUCUUGGGCUAUCUGAGAUACUGUGAAGGAGCACAGAGAGAGCCAGUCCCUUUUCUGUAAUCUUUCCACUGGAAGUUGUCCUUUUGCAUAGGAGACAUUCUUGAGUGUCCUUCUCAACAGUCUGGAAAUCUUAAUGCUUUCCCCAUGGCUGCCCUCCCUGGUGUUUUGUUCUCGGGUAAUGGCAGUAGGCAGAGAAUGAUCCUCUCCCUAGGUAACCAGUGGGCAUGAAGAUUCAGGGCACUGCCACCAAAUUUCAGAGCCCAAGCACAGAUCCCAGAACUAAGUUGUGAGAUUCUUUCACAAACAGCUUUAUUGAAGUAUAAUUGACAUACAAUAAACUUUGCAUAUUUAAAGUGUACAAUGUCAUGAGUUUGAGCAUAUGUGUACACCACUGCAACAAUUACCACAUUUGAGAUAAUGAACAUUCCCUUCACCCCUCCCGAAAGUUUCCUCAUACCUCUUCCUUCUACUCCUCAAAAACUUAAUGCACUAUUUCCAAAAAGACAAAACCUACCUUACCCUACCCAUUUAACAAGGCCUAUAUAACCUUAACUCCAAAACAAGGUAAAGGAAUCAUAAGACAGUUUUAGACAAAUUUACUUUUGGGC